UAGUUCACCCUACAGUGAUUAAAAGCAUUGGUUGUUACAGAUUAUCUUAACUAAAUUUAUUUAAACUACUGAUAAAGGCUGAUUUAACAAAUUUAAGCUAUUGAUUAUAAAGAACAAGUUAAUUUAAUUUUUUUCUAUUUAAAGGAUUAAUUUCCUUUUUCUUCACUUAAAAUUUUUUUAUAAGAUUAAUAAGAUUUUUUAAAUCUUACAUACUGAUUCCCCUCAGUGUCCUAAGACCACUAUGGUUUUUUUCCAAUAAAGUUUUUUUUCUUCUAUGUUUUUAUAUUUUAGUUGAUUCAUGCUUUGUACCAGCUGUUAUCUGCUCUUGUUUUCCUUCAUCAGCAUUUGUGUAUGAUUUCAGUUUUAUGUAUGUUUUAAUUUGUGUUUAAUUCAUUUAUUUUCUCUUCUUUGCAAUAUUCAUGAAGAAAAACACAAAGCAGAAUUUGACUAUAAACUGGACUUUUACACUACUUUCUUAUCACUGUGGUGUUGACUGCCCUCCAGUGGCCAUGCAUCAUCACUGAAGGUUAUCCUCCCUCUCCCUAUGUGAAUUGUAUGGUCCUUCAUCUCUUGUAUAUUUAAUUUAUGUGAUCUUUCUUUUGUUCCUUAACAUAUCUAGGUCAAAAUAUAUUAAAAAUACUUUUGAUAAUAUUUUAA